AUACGGGGGGGGCGAGCGUUGUCGGGAAUCAUUGGGCGUAAAGGGUGAGUAGGCGGGAUGGUAAGUCAGAGGUGAAAGUCCAGGGCUCAACUCUGGAUCUGCCUCUGAUACUGCUGUCCUUGAGUGCGGGAGAGGGAAGUGGAAUUCCCGGUGUAGCGGUGAAAUGCGUAGAUAUCGGGAAGAACACCAGUGGCGAAGGCGGCUUCCUGGCCCGCAACUGACGCUGAAUCACGAAAGCGUGGGGAGCAAACAGGAUUAGAUACCCUAGUAGUCC
rnacentral:rRNA from 1 species